GACGAACGCUGGCGGCGUGCUUAACACAUGCAAGUCGAACGGUGAUGCUCCAGCUUGCUGGAGUGGAUCAGUGGCGAACGGGUGAGUAACACGUGAGCAACCUGCCCCAGACUCUGGAAUAAGCGUUGGAAACGGCGUCUAAUACUGGAUACGAAACUGGCCCGCAUGGGCAUGGUUUGGAAAGUUCUUCGGUUUGGGAUGGGCUCGCGGCCUAUCAGCUUGUUGGUGAGGUAAUGGCUCACCAAGGCGAAGACGGGUAGCCGGCCUGAGAGGGCGACCGGCCACACUGGGACUGAGACACGGCCCAGACUCCUACGGGAGGCAGCAGUGGGGAAUAUUGCACAAUGGGCGAAAGCCUGAUGCAGCGACGCCGCGUGGGGGAUGACGGCCUUCGGGUUGUAAACCUCUUUCAGCAGGGAAGAAGCGAAAGUGACGGUACCUGCAGAAGAAGCACCGGCUAACUACGUG
rnacentral:rRNA from 1 species